CAUACGACCGUACCGCAAACCGACACUGGUGCGCGAGAUGAGUAUUCUAAGGCGCUUGAGAGAACUCAGGAGAAGGAACUCGGCAAAUUGACACCGUAACUUCGGAAGAAGGUGUGCCCUAUUAGUGUGUAGUGAACAACGAAGCAUGAAUGGGUUGCAAAAAAUCGGUGGCUGCGACUGUUUAUUAAAAACACAGCACUCUGCAAACACGAAAGUGGACGUAUAGGGUGUGACGCCUGCCCGGUGCUGGAAGAUUAAAUGAUGGGGUGCAAGCUCUUGAUUGAAGUCCCAGUAAACGGCGGCCGUAACAAUAACGGUCCUAAGGUAGCGAAAUUCCUUGUCGGGUAAGUUCCGACCUGCACGAAUGGCGUAACGAUGGCCACACUGUCUCCUCCUGAGACUCAGCGAAGUUGAAAUGUUUGUGAUGAUGCAAUCUCCCCGCGGAAAGACGGAAAGACCCCAUGAACCUUUACUGUAGCUUUGUAUUGGACUUUGAACAGAUCUGUGUAGGAUAGGUGGGAGGCUUUGAAGCAGGGUUGCUAGAUCUUGUGGAGCCAACGUUGAAAUACCACCCUGGUGUGUUUGAGGUUCUAACCUAGGUCCAUUAUCUGGAUCGGGGACAGUGCAUGGUAGGCAGUUUGACUGGGGCGGUCUCCUCCCAAAGCGUAACGGAGGAGUUCGAAGGUACGCUAGUUACGGUCGGACAUCGUGACGAUAGUGCAAUGGCAUAAGCGUGCUUAACUGCGAGACUGACAAGUCGAGCAGAUGCGAAAGCAGGACAUAGUGAUCCGGUGGUUCUGUAUGGAAGGGCCAUCGCUCAACGGAUAAAAGGUACUCUGGGGAUAACAGGCUGAUACCGCCCAAGAGUUCAUAUCGACGGCGGUGUUUGGCACCUCGAUGUCGGCUCAUCUCAUCCUGGGGCUGUAGCCGGUCCCAAGGGUAUGGCUGUUCGCCAUUUAAAGAGGUACGUGAGCUGGGUUUAAAACGUCGUGAGACAGUUUGGUCCCUAUCUUCCGUGGGCGCUGCAGAUUUGAAGAAGCCUGCUCCUAGUACGAGAGGACCGGAGUGGACACACCUCUGGUGUAUCGGUUGUCACGCCAGUGGCAUUGCCGAGUAGCUAAGUGUGGAAGAGAUAACCGCUGAAAGCAUCUAAGCGGGAAACUCGUUUCAAGAUGAGAUCUGCCGGGGCCUUGAGCCCCCUAAAGAGUCGUUCAAGACCAGGACGUUGAUAGGUCAGGUGUGGAAGC
rnacentral:rRNA from 1 species